rnacentral:rRNA from 1 species
GGGUGAGUAAUAUAUCGGAACGUACCUAGUAAUGGGGAACAACCAGCCGAAAGGUUGGCUAAUACCGCAUACGACCUACGGGUGAAAGCAGGGGAUCGCAAGACCUCUCACUAUUGGAGCGGCCGAUAUCGGAUUAGCUAGUUGGUGGGGUAAAGGCCUACCAAGGCGACGAUCCGUAGCUGGUUUGAGAGGACGACCAGCCACACUGGGACUGAGACACGGCCCAGACUCC